ensembl:lncRNA
GCUACAGUUGAGCGUGGAUUCUCAAUCAAUAAAGAGGUGGAGUCUGAUAACUUGGAGGAGGAUACUGUGGUCACACGGAGACUGGUGUGUGACUACAUCAUACAACAUGGAGGUGUUACCAAGGUUCCACUCAUUAAACCGCUACUGGAAAUGUAACAAGGGCAAGGACAAGGUAUCGUACCCAUCUGGAGACCAAAAGAAGGAACAGGGAGGCAAAAGACCAGGCUCUCAAGAGGAGGGAAGCAGAGGACUGUCUUGAGGAGCUGAAGGUUAAGAGGAGACGUGUACAGGAGGUAUCUGAGGGUCUGGCUAGGAAUGCGGACAAGAUGGCUGAGGAGGCUGAAGCGAAGGCAGGGAGCAAGAUGGCCGGCCUGAUCACCAGGUCAAACAUUCUGCGGAGAGGCCAUCAGGAGCAGUUGGCAGAACUGGCUCUCCUUGAUAAAGAGAUCGCUGCUAAGAGUGCAGAGCUUAGGAGUUGACUGUGCGAUCAUAAUUUUAUUUAUUGUUGAGUUGAUUUUCAUUGUUUAUUGUUCAGGAGUCUGUGCUGUUGGCGUAAGUACUCACCACUAUGCUGCAAUGUUCCAUCAUUCCAUAAUGCUUUACAGUCCACAUUUUCACAUUUGUUGAAAUAAAUGAACAAAUUUUGAACAAACGUUGUCGGUAGGUCUGUGAAAUAGGCCGUGAAAUAGGUAUUCAUUUUUAUAUAAGUGGUCUUAAAAGGGACUUAAAAAGACUUGAAUUUGACUUGAACAAACCUGUAGGAACCCUGUAAUAAAAUAACCUCAAACAGCUAA